AUGUCUUGGGCUAUUUUUCUUUCGUCCACGGUUUCACGUUUUUCCUUGUGUGACGUAAAAAAAGCCGGUGAGGUCAUCAACCAAAUCACAGGAGUUCUAGAAUCAAAACAAAACCUGGCAAUAUGGAUGCGCCACGCUUCACUUCAGUCACCAGAGAGUUUGAGUGGACCUGCACUGUAUUGUUGCCAUCCAAUAAAAUCAGACAAUAACAAACCUUGGUUCAUUGCUAAUCGCCGCAGGUUAUCUGUUACAGUACUAAAACUAGGGAGUCUCUUUCAGACAGUGUUUCUUUGGUUUUGUGUGCGCUGA
rnacentral:rRNA from 1 species